rnacentral:lncRNA from 1 species
GCAGAAAAAGGUUAGAGAGCACCUGAAAAACACGCACUCAGGAUAUCUAAUUUAUAGCCCUGUUUAUCAGCCUGGAAGACGCAGCCAGCUGGAACAAGGAGGAAAGGUAAAACACUUGGCGAAGCAGGUUUGAAAAAUCUGAAGGGUCUCCUUCCCUUUCUGCUGCAAGGUUAAGGGAGGAAGCCCUGAAUUUGCAGGAGAAAGGCAACUAUUAAGAUCCACAAGGCACCUCCAGUAAAUAUUGGGAAAUCCACAAAAAAAAAAGAAGGGAUCCCAGGUAUUGACCUGGCCUCUGUCACAAAAGAUGCCCUCUGCACAGACCUGGCAAUCAAAAUGUGAAUAAAAUUAAUUAAUUAAUUAAUGCAAUUUAAAACAAAUUAAUUUAAACAAAUUAAUGCAAUUUAAAAAAUAAAAUAAAAUUGAAUGCCAUAAUCUCACAGCUGGCGGUCACCAGGAAGAGAACCUGCACAGCUCAGCCCUUGAAAGAGAAAAAAAUAAUGAAAAAAACACCAAAAAAGGGGGUAAAAAGGAGGCUGCUGGUGGACCAAGAGAAAUGUGACUCUCAGAAUUUAUUUGCAGCCAGGUAUUUUCCUGAUAUAUGAGAUAUUUGACCUCAUCCACACAUAAGCAGGACAACAUUGGAAAAGCAUCAUCGCACAAAUCAACAGGCUGCUCCUAAUGGCUUUUUUUUUUUAUUUUUUUAUUUUUUCCAUCUGCAAAACCUCCGCAGCAGGGGACAAUGCCGAGCUGAAGUCCCAGCGAGUGCACAAAUAUUGUAGGGACAAACAUGAAGAGGCAAACGAUCUCAGUUUUGGGUGAAAAAGACCAGAAAUGCCCAGAGCAGUCUGUGGCAGCAAAGGGGGAAUAGCUGAUCGUGCCACGAGGUGUUGCACCACGAAGAAUUUGGGUCGAAGCGACGUGGGACUGGGUUCCCAAAAAAUAACAGGGGCAGAAUUGGACCUCGAUGACUGGCAGUUGACAUGGAUGAGGGUGGAAGAAGCAGAGACCGACAGAAGCUCUUGAAAUACUGAGCGCCACCACGGAGACCAGAAACUUAGGAUUUUAAGCCCCAUUCUGAAAUUUAAGUGAAUUAACCAAAGGUGUUGCUGUUGAAAGGAGGACACGUCCAGGGCUUGGUGGGAAUUUGUUUUCCAAAGCAAGGGUUUAUAGAUACAAAUAUAGAGAUAUAAAUAUAGAUGUAUAGACAUAGAGAUAUAGGUAGAGAUAUAUAGAGAUAUAGGUAGAGAUAGAGAUAUAUUGGUAUAUAGAUAUAUUUAGAUAUAGGUAGAGAUAUAGAGAUAUAAAG